rnacentral:rRNA from 1 species
UCCGUAGGUGGAUAAUUAAGUCAGAGGUGAAAUCCUGCAGCUCAACUGUAGAAUUGCCUUUGAAACUGGUUAUCUUGAGUAUUAUGAAGUAGUUAGAAUAUGUAGUGUAGCGGUGAAAUGCAUAGAUAUUACAUAGAAUACCAAUUGCGAAGGCAGAUUACUAAUAACAUACUGACACUGAUGGACGAAAGCGUGGGGAGCGAACAGGAUUAGAUACCCUGGUAGUCC